rnacentral:rRNA from 1 species
UACAGAGGUGGCAAGCGUUGUUCGGAAUUACUGGGCGUAAAGGGUGCGUAGGUGGCGUGGUAAGUCUGGUGUGAAAUCCCGCAGCUCAACUGCGGAACUGCAUCGGAUACUCUCCGGCUAGAGGAAUGGAGGGGAGACUGGAAUUCUCGGUGUAGCAGUGAAAUGCGUAGAUAUCGAGAGGAACACCAGUGGCGAAGGCGAGUCUCUGGACAUUUCCUAACGCUGAGGCACGAAAGCCAGGGGAGCAAACGGG